rnacentral:lncRNA from 1 species
GUUUUUGCUUAAUUACAAGUUGCUAUAGCUCUUUCCCUUACUCAAUUGUGAGCCUCUCUCCUAAUUGUGUCUCACAGAUGCAUAGUGAGGAGGUUAUUCAGCUUGUAUUUACAUCAUUACCCAUCUACCAUCAGAGUGUAUUGCUAACUGGUUCUCCUUACAAAUGCUUGUUGUGUUUGUUUUGUGUUUUUAAUUUUAUGUUCCACUGCUUGUCUACUUUUUCAUUGUUUUUAAUCCAAACUUCUACUUCAGCCUCUGCUCAUGAAGUCUCCCUCUCCCGAGUCCUUUGGGCUGCAAUAAUCAGACUCAAGCUGAGUGGAGACACACACUGAACAGAUGACAUGCCAGCCAAACUUGCCCCAAAAGUUGGGGAGGGAAAUGGUGCUCAACUGAAGGCAGCUGCUCUUGGGAGAGUCUUGACAGAGACCUCUGCAGCGAUAGUGCCUGGCAUCAGUGAUUGACGGGGAGCCAUCUGAUCAACUUUUGUUUCUGAAGGAAAACCCUGAGGAAACUCACUACCAUCCUCAGUGGCUGGUGGAUGGAUAAAGAGGUGGAAAGCAAGUUGGUAAGACUGCGGAUGGUCUUUCUUUUUCUCUUUCUUUUCCUUGUUUCCUCUCUCUUUUUUUCUCUUUCUUUCUUUCUUUUCUUUCUUUCUCUGUCUCUCGCUCUGUCUUUCUUUCUUUUCUUUUCUUUUUUUUGACAGAGUCUCACUCUGUUGCCCAGGCUGGAGUGCAGUGCUGCAAUUCAGGCUGACUGCAACCUCUGCCUCCCGGGUUUAAGCGAUUCUCCUGCCUCAGCCUCCUGAGUAGCUGGGACUAUAGGCGCCCACCACCAUGCCCAGCUCAUGUUUGUAUUUUUAGUAGAAAUGAGACUUCGUCAUGUUGGCCAGGCUGGUCUCAAACUCCUGACCUCAAGUGAUCCCCCCGCCUCGGCCUCCCAAAGUGCUGGGAUUACAGGUGUGAGUCACCGUGCCCAGCCAGAUGGUCUUUCUAACCAAACAACAGGGUAGCUGCAGGUCUCAGACCUUCUGUUUCUGCUUAACUGGUUGUAAAGAAUAUUCAUAUUGGUGGAACGAGAGGAAUGAGAAGGGUGGCUGUUUGCUUUCUGUGUGUGUAACAGAGAUGUAGAUGGUGGCUGUGUUACAUGAGAGAGGCCCAGAGGGCAGGAGAGAAGGAAGUGUCCAUGCUCACUAUUGCAAUUUAGUGUCUUAAGAUUCGUAUUUUGUUAAUUAUUUUGCUUGGUGAAAGUGACUUAACAUGUUUGAGCCAUAAGAAGAGACAACCAGAAAUGUGAUAAAGCCAAGAAAACUAUAGCAAAUGAUACUCUUGUGACAAGUCCUCCCCAUAAUGCCACACUGUUUUCCUCAAAUCCCCUCAAAGCACAUGGCAAAAGACAAAACUCCUGUCAACAAUUUCAGCUGCAAGUGAGAAUGAGAGGUUGGGAAAAUUUAUACAAUAGUAUGGUUCUCUCAGUUGUAUUCUUUGGUUAAAAUAUUGUCUUAAACUUCAACAGGCCACACUGUUUGUUUCAGUGUGGUUGAGAAAGAUGAAAAAUCAAAGCCAUUUCCUUUUACAAAAGCUUUCUGGAGGGCUGCUGAGGGUUACUUACCUUUGGGGGUGGCCCUUUGAAGGGAGACUGAGGAAGUGUAAUGGAAGGAACCAUGUGAGCAUUGGCCUGUCUGAGAAGUUAUCCAUGCUUUCCCUACAACCCCUCACCUGCAAGACGCCUCUAAGAGCUAUAAAAUCUUUCCCUCCCUUCUCUCCAACAGUCACAGACAGAGAUUGGCACUUCCUACAAGGCAGGCUUUCCAUCAUGUAGUUUGUAGAUUGUGUAAGUGGUUCUGAGAUGUGAAAUGCUCUAAAUCUCAUUUCCCCAUCAUUUUCCAAAAGUAUUUUUCUAGGUGAGAUUUCUAUCUCAUAGAUGGCAUUGAUAUCUCAAUGCAAGGACAGGAGCAACUCAUGCUGCCUGCUUUGACCACCCUCCCCCACACUUCAUCACCAUCCCUGCCUAACCCCUGGAGCAACUGUCCCUAAAGGGCCAUGGUGGUGGGGCCCCUGGCCUCAGAGCCUCCCCGCGUCCCCAGGCAGCUGUGGCAGAGCCCUGAACAUCACUCCUUCGGUGAUCCUUGGUCUCUCCUUCUCACCUGUAUGGGAAAAGAGACUUGGGCUGAGAAAUGCAUUCAGAUUUUUUCUGGCCUGUGGACUGUUUUCUUUCUAUGGUCUGAGUGUGUAGAGUGAGCAGAAACUAUGAAGAGCCAUGAGCAGUUCCGGGGGAGCAGCUGCGAGCAUCAUGGAAGGCCUCUGCCCUGUCGGAGAAGCCGGGAUCCUCUUCAGCUUGGACACUACAUCAGUGACACUGGCAUCUCCCCCAUGCCAGAGGGAACUGCACAAGACACUUCAUUCUCUUUAAUCUGCUCUACCCCGUCAUAUACCAUUGUUUAUGAUGCUAACAAUUAUGAUGGUGCAAUAGCACACUCAGUGACUCAUCAGCUCCCGCCUUCCAGAGGCACUCAGCUCUCACAUACGCGGCACGCCAAACUGUGUACUGCUAUCACAGGUCCUCUCAAUACCUGAAGAUGAUUGACUGGAUUCUGGGAGUGACUACACUUCCUUUGGGAAGACAGCUCCUAGUUUUCGUGCAUGGGAAUCCCUUCUGAAAACGUAAUUGCCUGUCAUGGAGAAAAGAAAAAAGUCUCUGUCAUACUCACUCCCCUUCUUUUCGAGGAAAAGGUCCUUUACUAUUGUGGGCAAAAAGGGACUCACCCCUUGAUCCAUAUCCAUAUUCCCACUGAGCCCUGUAGGGAAGAUUCAUCUCAAGAGAGGGGUGGAGGAUAUCCAUGAGCAAACAUGGCAGCCGCUUGGCAGUUUCAAAGAGGCCUUGAAAAUAAAUCUAUUUCUAUUUCUCCCUUCAUGAUGUGUGAUGUAAGAAUGCUUUCCAACCACUCUCUGUUGCCACACUGAUGGUUGAUGACAUUUAUGUACAUAGCACCGUCAUUCAUUCAUUUCAGACAUAUCCAUUGUGUCAGAUGCUCUUUUAGGCACCA